UGGACUGUAGGGAGGGGCAAGGAGAAGGCUGAGGGAAUUGCACGUUUGUAUGGUAGAGUCCUGGGACUUUUUUUCUCCCCCAGACCAGAGAGGUUCUGUAAGUGGCUCCCUCUCACCCUCUGGGUGCAUAAGGAUGGGUGUUCAGUGUAAGUCGGCUUACCUAGGAGGGAGGCCAGCCUCCUGGGAGGAGAAAUAGGCCAUUCCAUCUGGAGCGGCUCUUGUGGGUUCCCUGGCUGUUUGGGUGGAUACAGCUGAGCCUCUGCCCCCGCAAGCUACAACGAUCGGUGACAAUAAUAAGAAAAUAUCCAGGGCACACCUUCAUGUCUCCAGCCCAAGACGAAGGAGUCAGGAAACAUGGUCUUCAUUUUCACCAGCUCAGAGAGCCAAAGCGACUUGUUCCAGGGCACAGCACAUCAGCAGAGCAGCUGAGAUGGCUUGAGGCUGAGUUUCCCACUCCCAAUGCUGAGGAGUUAUUCCUGCUCUCCACACGGCACUGUCUCCACAAACCUUGACUUAGUGGAGCAAACAGAAUGUCUGCAUUGCCUCAAAAGGAAGUGGGUCCAUCAGGCCAAUGAGUACCAGUUGUCGAAUGGCCUCUCUGGGGGAAUGUGUGCCCUCGUGGAAGCUGAACCUUUACCAGAGCUUCCUGAAGGGGGUCGGAUUACCUUGCUUGCCUUUUCCAUGGAAGGACAUCAGCGAGCACGUUCCCUGGCACCAGGCUUCCCUGGUGGUGCAGUGGUUGAGAAUCUGCCUGCCAAUGCAGGGGACGUGGGUUCGAGCCCUGGUCUGGGAAGAUCCCACAUGCCGUGGAGCAACUAAGCCUGUGUGCCACAACUACUGAGCCUGUGCGUCUGGAGCCUGUGCUCUGCAACAAGAGAGGCCGCAGUAGUGAGAGGCCCGCGCACCGCGAUGAAGAGUGGCCCCCGCUCGCCGCAACUAGAGAAAGUCCUCACACAGAAACAAAGACCCAACACAGCCAAUAAAUAAAUUAAUUAAUUAAUUAAUUAAAAAAAAUACUAUAUCGCAUAUUUGAAAGUUGCUAAGAGAAUAGAUCUUAAAAGUUUUCAUUGCCAGAAAAAAAUUUUUUUUGUAACUAUGUAUGUUGACUGAUGUUAACUAGACUUAUUGUGGUGAUCAUUUCACAAUGUGUACAAAUAUCGAAUCAUUGUACCUGAAAGUAAUAUAAUGUUAUAUGUCAAUUAUAUCUCAAUUUGAAAAAAAAAGAUGUUUGGAAGAACAAAAUGUAAAGCAAACAAAUAAACCACCCCCAAAGCCCCCAAAUUUUUAUUUAAAAAUAUUAAAUAAGAUAAAUAA